rnacentral:rRNA from 1 species
GAUGAACGCUGGCGGCGUGCCUAAUACAUGCAAGUCGAGCGAACGGACGAGAAGCUUGCUUCUCUGAUGUUAGCGGCGGACGGGUGAGUAACACGUGGAUAACCUACCUAUAAGACUGGGAUAACUUCGGGAAACCGGAGCUAAUACCGGAUAAUAUUUUGAACCGCAUGGUUCAAAAGUGAAAGACGGUCUUGCUGUCACUUAUAGAUGGAUCCGCGCUGCAUUAGCUAGUUGGUAAGGUAACGGCUUACCAAGGCAACGAUGCAUAGCCGACCUGAGAGGGGGAUCGCCCACACGGGAACUGAGACACGGUCCAGACUCCUACGGAAGGCAGCAGUAGGAAAUCUUCCGCAAGGGGCGAAAGCCUACCGGAGCAACGCCGCGUGGGUGAUGAAGGUCUUCGGAUCGUAAAACUCUUUUAUAGGGAAGAACAUAUGUGUAAGUAACUGUGCACAUCUUGACGGUACCUAAUCAGAAAGCCACGGCUAACUACGUG